GCGCCGCCGGCGCGGGUUCCCCUGGCAACCCUGACGCCGUGGCACUGUCCGCGUGGACGAUUCCCAGGCACCCCCACAGCCACAGAGUCCAAAAUUCCAUUCGAGGGGCUUCUGGACCUAAGAGGCUAAGAUAUUGGGAAAACCCAAGUGCCCAAGGACAGAUGAAUGAAUUUAGAUGUGAUCCACACACACAGGAAUACGACUCAGCUGUUAAAAAGACAACUUGGAUGAACCUUAAGGGGAUUAGGCCUCUUCAAGCUCCAGAGAACUUGAAUCACCAGUGACCACCCAACAUCUCUGAGACGAUUAAACUCUGUAGCGGCGAGACCUUCCAGAACUUUCCACGUGUGUCCCCCGUGCACACUUGAGCUUUUAUCCUCUCUGACAGCACACAGGGCUCUUCUCUGCCCCCGUCUGCCUCCCUGGUGGGAGGCUCCACGCAGGCAGCCGCCCUUCAGCGUGCCCGGCACGGCCUGCAAGAACAGUGCUCGUUUGUCCACUCCCCCGUAUUAAUUGGGUGUCCACUGUGCAACGGUCUCCAGUCUAGACCCUCGAUGUUUUUGCAAAUGUUUCUCCGGUGGUUGAGGAAUUCACUCUACUUUAAGGAACAACAACAACAAAAAGCCUCUAAGCUGAAGGAAACUUGUGUCUCCGAUUCCUCAGAAAGAUGUGAGGAGUUGGGCAAAUACUUGACCUCCCUCCCUCCACCGGCCGCCCUCUUUGAUUCUGAAUAUCCUGCUUUUCCACGCGGCCUAGGAAAGUGGGGUCAUUCCAGAGGAAAGACUGAGCCCUCUGUGAUUUACAAGUGCAGGUGUUUGCACCCCUGGGGCCAGCCAGGCCUGCUCUUUAUGAGCUCCGAGCCCCGAGGAGGAAAUGCAUCUGAGCUGUGGUCACCUGCCCCGGUGGCAGGGCUGUUAGCUGGCGGCGAGUGGGCGAGGCAGCUGCGGGCAGGCAUUACACAGGCUUUCCAGAAAGAGCUAGGCAGCCAGCGCCCAAGCCAC